CCUACGGGAGGCAGCAGUGAGGAAUAUUUGUCAAUGGACGAGAGUCUGAACCAGCCAAGUAGCGUGAAGGAUGACUGCCCUAUGUGUUGUAAACUUCUUUUAUAUGGGAAUAAAACGUUCCACGUGUGGGAUUUUGUAUGUACCAUAUGAAUAAGGAUCGGCUAACUCCGUGCCAGCAGCCGCGGUAAUACGGGGGAUCCGAGCGUUAUCCGGAUUUAUUGGGUUUAAAGGGAGCGUAGGUGGAUUGUUAAGUCAGUUGUGAAAGUUUGCGGCUCAACCGUAAAAUUGCAGUUGAAACUGGCAGUCUUGAGUACAGUAGAGGUGGGCGGAAGUCGUGGUGUAGCGGUGAAAUGCUUAGAUAUCACGAAGAACUCCGAUUGCGAAGGCAGUUCACUGGACUGCAACUGACACUGAGGCUCGAAAGUGUGGGUAUCAAACAGGAUUAGAUACCCGAGUAGUC
rnacentral:rRNA from 1 species